AUUAUUACUUUCGAAGAUAGUUCACGAGUUAAAUUUUAUUUCAAAAAUGUUUUUUACCAAAGUAUUCUUCAUUUUGUUUAUUGCCAUUACUUUGUCCAUGAACUUUCUAGAGGCUGGUAAUCAAGUUUUUAAAAUUGAACACAAAGCUGAUGAGUGGUGAUGAAGCAGCAUUAAUAGCCAGUAAUACAGAGGCCACACAGUUGUUGCAGUAGGUUAUGUUACCAAUUCAUAUGUAGAUAUCGAUGUUAAUACGGAUUCUUAAAAAUUUUAAAAGAAACUCGUAAUA